GGUAUGGGAUGAGCUUGCGUCCGAUUAGCUAGUUGGCGGGGCAACGGCCCACCAAGGCGACGAUCGGUAGCCGGCCUGAGAGGGUGAUCGGCCACAUUGGGACUGAGAUACGGCCCAGACUCCUACGGGAGGCAGCAGUAGGGAAUAUUGCACAAUGGGGGGAACCCUGAUGCAGCAACGUCACGUGUGGGAAUAAGCAUUUCGGUGUGUAAACCACUGUCGUGAGGGAAUAAGGCCUGUUCUAGGACAGGAUUGAAUGUACCUCGAAAGGAAGCACCGGCAAACUUCGUGCCAGCAGCCGCGGUAAUACGAGGGGUGCAAGCGUUGUUCGGAAUCACUGGGCGUAAAGGGAGCGUAGGCGGAGAUUCAAGCGGAUUGUACAAUCCCGGGGCCCAACCCCGGACCUGCAGUCCGAACUGGAUCUCUUGGAUAGUUCAGGGGCAGGC
rnacentral:rRNA from 1 species